GAAAGGAAGAACUGUGAAGCAGACACAGAAAGACCAUCUCGCCUUAUGAAGUGCCUUCUUUGGGUACUGGAUUUCGUCCAGGUUGACAGCAAUAGCAGCAUGACAUGCUGCUGGGCAACUAAAUGCCUGGAGACCAUAGUUGUGCUCAAAUCUACGGACCUUACUAUAGCCCAACCCUCAAAACCACUCGGUGCAGGCAGAAAGGUGGCAUCAAGAAGAAAGCAUGGAAUUCAACCCAACUAAUGAAAGGAAAACUUUGCCAAUUCCUGGAUUGCAGACCAUUAAACAAGUGCAGUUGUGUGAUUCUUAUGAUCUGAAGACCUUUCUCUCUGCACACACACGUAUACAGAUUUAAAAAUACUGUAGUUCUAGUCUCUUCAAGAAAAUUAUCUCAUGUAGAUUGAUUUAAAUGGUAUGGUGGUGGAUGUAUUUGUUAUAAUGAUGGGC
rnacentral:lncRNA from 1 species